AUUGAACGCUGGCGGCAUGCUUUACACAUGCAAGUCGAACGGCAGCGCGGGCUUCGGCCUGGCGGCGAGUGGCGAACGGGUGAGUAAUACAUCGGAACGUGCCCAGUAGUGGGGGAUAGCUCGGCGAAAGCCGGAUUAAUACCGCAUACGACCUGAGGGUGAAAGCGGGGGAUCUUCGGACCUCGCGCUAUUGGAGCGGCCGAUGGCAGAUUAGCUAGUUGGUGGGGUAAAGGCCUACCAAGGCGACGAUCUGUAGCUGGUCUGAGAGGACGACCAGCCACACUGGGGCUGAGACACGGCCCAGACUCCUACGGGAGGCAGCAGUGGGGAAUUUUGGACAAAGGGCGAAAGCCUGAUCCAGCAAUGCCGCGUGUGUGAUGAAGGCCUUCGGGUUGUAAAGCACUUUUGGCGGGAACGAAAAGGACUGUGCCAAUACCACGGUUCGAUGACGGUACCCGCAGAAUAAGCACCGGCUAACUACGUG
rnacentral:rRNA from 1 species